rnacentral:lncRNA from 1 species
AUAUAAGAGGGGGCGGGAGACAAGCCCUAUCAGCACAUCCCAGAAAAUGGGAAACCGAAUCACCCAGGGGAUGGCAAGGAAUGACCAGAGGGAAAGUUCCAGUUCUGUCCAACAUGCACUACCAGCCCCAUUUUGGAAAAGAACAGAUUUAAUAGACCUCACCAAGACAAGAAUUGUUUUUCGUCAAAGGAAAUCAAAGGAACAAACAAGAGGCAGUGACCACCAGAGACUUCACCUUUUGGUGUAGGAAAACCCAAGCAGACAGUGUCUACAUCCAUCAAAGCCCAAUGUAUUAAAUAUUUAUUGAAUAAGAACCCACGGACUCUUCCUUACCAGAGCCUUAGAUUGCCAUGUGCGUCUGAUUGCUCCAAAGACAAGACUAUUGUGAUUUUGGCCCCAUAUGCAUUUUAGAGUAACAAGUCUUACCAGAAAAAUAAUAGCCAGCCCCAGCUUAAUUCCUAGAGAAACUCAAACCACCUUGUUAAGAACAAUCCCAGAGGAGAGUUUAUACUAAGGAGCACUACACAAUGCUGUUUGCCAUCUCUGGGCCCUCUAAAAGCAAGCCCAACCUUGGAAAAGGAAUGUCUGCCACCAGGGAAACGUGGCUGCACUGCUGGAGGAAGAACUUGAUCAUGACGGGCAAUGCUUGGAAGUAAAGAAGCAUCUGCUGCCUUGGAAAGGCUUGGUCAGGGCAAUCAUUGUCACAGGCCAUGUUUUUUCUCUGACUAUCUCUUGGAAUUUCAGAGUGACUAAGUGAUUACUACAAUUAGAGCAAGAGGCGGUGUCUUCCAGAAGUCGGUGUGGGCAGCACCAAACCAUCCACCAUGCAUCAGAGAAAAGCCAGACAGCUGGAAGGCUCUAUUCCCAGGCCACUCUCCAGUCCUCAAACAUGUCACCAUCUCUCAUGCCUCCUUACUGGGCCCAUGCUGUCUCCUUGACCAGGAAUGUCCUCCACCCCGAUCCCAUCCCCAUAGCCCCCUUCACUGUAAGAUCUGGGCCCAGCAAAUUGCCCAGCUCCUCUUCUCUGAAUGCUUCUUUAAUGUCUCUGAGAAGGAGUUCCUUCCUCCUUUACUGUCCAUCUCUUCCACCACAUGAGGGGUUUGGGGGAGGUCUUUGAAGACAAGGGACCCUUCCUCAUUCAUAUUUGAAUACUGAGCCCAAGCACACGCCCCUAGCAUCUGCAAUACACACAUGUCAAGGUGAAUGGGGAGAUAGAUGCCAAGAUCCUUGAGCGCUGCAAAUCUUCACUGCCAACUUCAACUACUCCAAAAUAAAGUCAAAAUUUUAAAAGUAA